rnacentral:lncRNA from 1 species
UAGCAAAUCUUGUUUUCCAUAGCUUAAGUGUUCACCUCCCUCUUUCUCUUUGAAAAUUUGUAAGAGUGUGAACCACUUGUAAAAGGUUGUAAGAGGGGUAUUUGUCCUUCCCCUUCAAAGUGAUUUGCUAGUGGAAGUUGGGAGCCUCAUCGAAGAAGGUUUCGCAAGUGGAUGUAGGUCAUUUUGACCGAACCACUUUAAAUUAGUGUGUUCCUUGAAUGUGUGAGUAUUUACCUU